CAGUAGCCGCGGUAAUACGGAGGGUGCAAGCGUUAAUCGGAAUUACUGGGCGUAAAGCGCACGCAGGCGGUCUGUCAAGUCAGAUGUGAAAUCCCCGGGCUUAACCUGGGAACUGCAUUUGAAACUGGCAGGCUAGAGUCUUGUAGAGGGGGGUAGAAUUCCAGGUGUAGCGGUGAAAUGCGUAGAGAUCUGGAGGAAUACCGGUGGCGAAGGCGGCCCCCUGGACAAAGACUGACGCUCAGGUGCGAAAGCGUGGGGAGCAAACAGGAUUAGAUACCCCUGUAGUCCCUGUCUAUUAUAC
rnacentral:rRNA from 1 species